rnacentral:lncRNA from 1 species
GAAUCUUAAAACCAUUCAUCGGGAGAACUAGGAAAGGACACCUCUGGGCCUGCCUGUGAGCUGCUGCUAGAGAAGAUUAGCCGAGAACUGAGUGAAUGAGAGCCACCUUGAGAGGAGUGCCAUCUAACAGGCUGGAGGUCCGGGUGACGUGAGAAAGUAGAAAGGGGAAGCAAGCCCUGGAUUAUGAGUUUCUUCCCCAGUGGGUGUGGUUUGAUGCUGCCGAUUCAUGGCAGCGUGGAACCAAGGUCUACAGUGGCUGCUGAGGUCAGACUUGAAGAAAUGACUCACAUGCAAGGCUGAUCUACAUAAGUAGCCUGUGCUAAGACUGCCAUCUGGUAGAACAAUCUACAUCACACGACUCCACGUUUCCUGUUACCCAAGGUAAGUACAUUUCAAGCAUGAGGGAAAACUUUAUCAAGUUUCUCUAAGUCCCUUUACUUCGACACUAAAGUGGCUUACACAGGGAGGAGGGGAAGGGAAAGUACGAGGUGCAGGCUACUCUCUCAUCUCCCCAGAUUCCCUCUUCACAGAAGAGAAAGACUUUCUUAGCCAUUAUCACUCCUGUCAUUGAGUCUGUCAAAUUUGCCUACUUGCCCUUUAACAAUGCUCUUCAGGCAACAGAACAGGGAUUUGAGAUACCAUUGAAAAUGGAUGUAUUCAUUUGAGUUUCUCCCACCCCGCCUCCUACUACUUUCCCUCUCUUUCUCUAUGUAUUUUUCUUCCGUGUGUGUGUGUGUGUGUGUGUGUGUGUGUGUGUGUGUGUGUGUGUCUUCCAUGCAGAAUUGAGUGUGUGUCACCAAGUCUAUGCAAGCGAAGCCAUAUACCCUAAGCAUCUCUCUGUUUUGUACUAAGGACCUGGCAUCUGAGAUAAUUCUAACAUGAAACUGGCAUUUUCAGUUUGCUCCUGUCGUAAGUAGAGCCUGCCAUGAAUCCUAUCUCAGGCAGGUAAGAAGCCCGCUACCCCCGACACCCACCACCCACCUGCACGAGGCACCCUGGUACAUCACCUAACCCUCCAUUUCUCUCUGUGGAGAUUCCAGGUCCACCCAUCCACGAGUCCUCCAAAGGGGUUUUCAGAACAUAGGACAAGCCAACAUUUCUACUUAGUUCAGAGUCUUUUUUGAUGUUCACAGUGAACCUCUAUCUGCACACAGCUUAUGAGCCAGAUGCAUGGGUCUUACUCCAUUAACUGGAACUAUGGUGCUCAGUGCUGAGAGAGUUCAUCGCAAGCCGAAGCUAUUGGACUUGCCACAGAGGGAAGCAGCAGCUGACAGUCACUGGCACAUCCCUCCAGCACCGACUGUGUUACCUAGCCAUCUGGAGCUCAAGAUUAAGGCAGGUUUGAUGAGAGAGCUGUGACCUGUGGACCUCCUGAGAAAAUGACAAUGAGGGGGUACCUGAUAUACACUUCAGGACAUAAUAACCUGUGGCUGGCGAAAAACUCUCCCAAAUUGCAUAUAAUUUACAAUGUGUGUAAUUUAAGUAAAUAGGUACUUCUCAAAAAAUUUUUUUUCUGUUCAUGGUACUCUCAUGUUGUAAAAACAAAACAAAACAAAACAAAACAAACAAACAAAAACAAAAACAAAGCUCGGCCUCUUGUUAGUUCUUUGUUUCUUCAAGAUUUAGAGAACAAAAUAAGAAGUAAAUGGUGAUACUACUCAAAAGUAACG